rnacentral:ncRNA from 1 species
CUUAUCAAGAGUGGCGGAGGGAACGGCCCUGUGAUUCCACAGCAACCUGCUUUUGCAAGGUGCUAAAACCGGCGGUAUUACCGAGCGAUGAG